AUAACUAAGCGGAGGAAAAGAAAGCAAAAGCGAUUCCCCGAGUAACGGCGAGUGAAACGGGACAAGCCCAGCGCUAAGGCCCGACGUGUUCGCAUGUUCGGGCGGUGCAGCGUUGGUGCUGUGUCGAUUAGUACGCCGAACGACCCGUUGCAAGUCCCCUUGACCGGGGCAAUUGAUCCAGAGCGGGUGUAAGACCCAUAGCGACAUGGUCGUUCGGCGUACCGGUCGCAGCACAUUCGAGUCAGGUUGCUUGAGAGUGCAACCUAAAGGGCGAGGUAAACUCCUCGUAAGGCUAAAUACGACUGCGAGACCGAUAGCAAACAAGUACCGUGAGGGAAAGUUGCAAAGAACUUUGAAGAGAGAGUUCAAAAGGGCGUGAAACCGCUUGCGGGUAAACAGGUGGAACCACGAAGUCGAGCACGGAUACGAGAUUCAACUGUGUUUCAUGUCAGGCAGUGCUCGGUUGCGUCUCGGGUGCGUCAAGUGCCGGCAACCGGGUGCAUUCAUGAAUGUCGGACGUGCACAGUGCAUUUCUCGUGGUCCGGGUCGGCACCGCAACCGACUGGAUGGCGCAGACAGAACGAACGUGGGUUGGCGAGCAGGUAGCCGGCGACUCAAAAUCGCCGGUGUUACAGCUCUUUCGGUCAAUCGGCGCUGUCAGGCGUGUACCGGUCGGAGACGAAAUUCCCGGUUCAAUGCGGGGUUUGCUUGGAAGGCGUACACGUAGCUCGAUGCACCCGGCUCGGGUCGCGUUGGCUCAGAUUGGUGCGUUCGCGUACCAACUGGACAUGUCGGCAUCGGGCCGACGAGCGUGUAUCGGCGCGUCGUGUGCGCGCGUAUCACUUGCAAUUGGCGGUGAGUAGGUCGGUCAUCCACCUGACCCGUCUUGAAACACGGACCAAGGAGUCUAACAUGUGCGCGAGUCGCUCGGUCUUGAACAGGCCCGAGAGGCGCAAUGAAAGUGAGCACCGUUUUGUGUGUGCAUGUACGAUCCGCAUUCGGUGAGAACUGAGUGCCGUUUCGCGAUGCGUUCACGCGUGUCGCGGGCGGCACACGAUGCGGCGCAGUAUGGGCCCGCUCGGUACGUGGACCGAGCAAUCGGUCGCGUGAGCGGAGCCGGAGCGUACACGUUGGUACCCGAAAGAUGGUGAACUAUGCCUGGGCAAGACGAAGCCAGAGGAAACUCUGGUGGAGGUCUGUAGCGAUUCUGACGUGCAAAUCGAUCGUCAGACCUGGGUAUAGGGGCGAAAGACUAAUCGAACCAUCUAGUAGCUGGUUCCCUCCGAAGUUUCCCUCAGGAUAGCAGACACGCGAGGGUGAUGCAGUUACAUCCGGUAAAGCGAAUGAUUAGAGGCAUUGGGGUCGAAACGACCUCAACCUAUUCUCAAACUUUAAAUGGGUGUGAAGUGUGACUCUCUUGAACACCAACUCGUUGGUUGGAGUCACACAUACAUAUGAAACACGCAAACAGAAUGCAUGCGUGUCUAGUGGGCCAUUUUUGGUAAGCAGAACUGGCGCUGUGGGAUGAACCAAACGUCGGGUUAAGGUGUCCGAUGUUGUCGCUCAUCAGAACCCAUGAAAGGUGUUGGUUGCUAUAGACAGCAGGACGGUGGCCAUGGAAGUCGGAAUCCGCUAAGGAGUGUGUAACAACUCACCUGCCGAAGCAACUAGCCCUGAAAAUGGAUGACGCUGUAGCGACAAACCCAUACCCGACCGUAACAGUGAUCAUAACGAGGGGCGAUACUGUUACGAGUAGGAGGGUCGCGCCGGUGGCGCAGAAGGCGAGGACGCGAGUCCAGCUGGAGCCGCCGGUGGUGCAGAUCUUGGUGGUAGUAGCAAAUACUCAAGUGAGAGCCUUGAGGACCAAUGUGGAGAAGGGUUCCAUGUGAACAGCAGUUGGACAUGGGUCAGUCGGUCCUAAGGGAUCGGCGAAAGCCGUUCUAAAUGUUGCGACGACUCGCAGAGCGCGCAAAACAUUCCCGAAAGGGAACCGGGUUAAUAUUCCCGAACCUGGACACGGAGAGAGGCGUUUCGGCGCCAAGAGCGGUAACGCAAACGAACACGGGGACGUCGGCGACAGCCUCGGGAAGAGUUUUCUUUUCUUUGUAAGCGUUUCGAGAGCCUGGAAUCGGUUCAGCCGGAGAUAGGCUCGUAGAAACCGUAAAGCACCGCGGCUCUUGCGGUGUCCGAAGUGUUGUCGUCGGCCCUUGAAAACCCGUGGGAGUGAGUGUGAUUCUCGUGCCAGGCCGUACCCAUAUCCGCAGCAGGUCUCCAAGGUGAACAGCCUCUGGUUGUUAGAAUAAUGUAGGUAAGGGAAGUCGGCAAAACGGAUCCGUAACUUCGGGACAAGGAUUGGCUCUGAGGAUUGGGUCAGUCGGGCUGCGAUGCGAAGCGUGUCGUGCACUGUGACAGGACUGGGCGAGCGGCUCGUUUCGUUUAACCAUGAUUUGGUUCGGUUCGAGUGUGGCGCUCGUCGGGCACGCGUGCGUCGCACGUGUGU
rnacentral:rRNA from 1 species